rnacentral:tRNA from 1 species
CCCUAUAUGACUCAGUUGGAAGAGCACGAGACUGUAAAUCUCAGGGUCAUCGGUUUGAUCCUGAUUUGAGGGA